rnacentral:lncRNA from 1 species
GUUGGAACUAGGUGAUCUUUAAGGUCCCCUCUAAGCCCCCUGCUGUAGGCAGGGUUGCCACCCACUAGACUGGCAAGGCUGCCCAGGGGCCCAUACAACCUCAGUUUGAACAUCUCCAGGAAUGGCACAUCCACAGCUUUUCUGGGCAGCCUUGCCAGUGCCUCACCACUCUACGAGUGAAGAAUUUCCUCCUAACAUCUCCCUUCUUUUAGUUCAAAGCCAAUCCCCCCAUUGUCCUACCACUAUUAGUCUGCACAAAAAUUUAGUCCCCCUCCUGCCUAUAAGCUCUCUUCAGUACUGGAAGGCCAAAACAAAGUUUCCCCAGAUCCUUUACUUCUCCAGACUGGAGAAGCUCUGCUCCCUCAACCUUUCUUUGUAGGAGAGGUGCUCCAGCCCUCUGAUCAUCUUCAUGGUCCUCCUCCAGACCCAUUCCAACAGCUCCACAUCCUUCUUGUGCUGGGAGCCCCAGGUCUAUGCACAGUACUCCAGAUACGACGUCAAGAGGACAGAGUAGAGGGGAAUAAUCCCCUCCCUCACUCUGCUGGCCACCCCUCUCCUGAUGCAGUCCAGGACACUGUUGGCCUUCUGUGCCACAAGCACACACCACUGGCUCAUGUCCAGUUUUUCAUCCAGCAGGACCCCCAAGGCCUUUUCUGUGGGGCUGCUCUCAAUCAGUUCUUUUCUGUACACAUAUCCAGGAUUGCCUUGACACAGGUGCAACACCUUACCUUGCACCUGGCCUUGUUGAAGCUCACUAGGUUCACAGGGGCCCACUUUCCAAGUCCGUCCAGGUCCCCCUGGAAGGCGUCCCUUCUUUAUGCUGUUAACAGCUGCACCACUCAGGUUCGUGUCAUCAGCAAACUUGUUGAGGGGACACUCAAUCCCACUAUCUAUGUCAUCAAUAAAGACACUGAAGAGCACUGGUCCCAAGAUGGACACCUUGGGGCAUCACACAGGACUGGCCUCCACCUGGACACAGAGCCAUUUAUCACAACCCUUUGGCUGUGACAAAUUCUUCAUCCACCAAGCUAUUCAGCUUUUAAAUACACACUUCACCAACUUAGAGACAAGGAUGUGGUGCAGGAUCAUGUCAAAGGCUUUACAGG